rnacentral:rRNA from 1 species
AGAUACCCUAUUAUUAAAAUUUAAAUUGAAAAAACUAAAAUAGUAGAUAAUUAUUUAUUGAAACUUAAAUAAUUUGGCGGUAUUUUAGUUCAUUUAGAGGAAUCUGUUUAAUAAUUGAUAAUCCACGAAUAAAUUUACUUAAUUUUUUAUUUUGUAUAUCGUUGUUAAAAAAAUAUUUUUUAAUAAUAAUAAUAUUUAAAAAUUUUGAUUAAAAAUUAAAUCAGAUC